rnacentral:rRNA from 1 species
GUAGUUAUCUGGUUGAUCCUGCCAGUAGUCAUAUGCUUGUCUCAAAGAUUAAGCCAUGCAUGUCUAAGUAUAAGCAAUUUAUACAGUGAAACUGCGAAUGGCUCAUUAAAUCAGUUAUCGUUUAUUUGAUAGUACCUUACUACUUGGAUAACCGUGGUAAUUCUAGAGCUAAUACAUGCUUAAAAUCCCGACUGUUUGGAAGGGAUGUAUUUAUUAGAUAAAAAAUCAAUGCCUUCGGGCUCUUUGAUGAUUCAUAAUAACUUUUCGAAUCGCAUGGCCUUGUGCUGGCGAUGGUUCAUUCAAAUUUCUGCCCUAUCAACUUUCGAUGGUAGGAUAGUGGCCUACCAUGGUUUCAACGGGUAACGGGGAAUAAGGGUUCGAUUCCGGAGAGGGAGCCUGAGAAACGGCUACCACAUCCAAGGAAGGC